rnacentral:rRNA from 1 species
UAAUACCGCAUACGCUCUGAGGAGGAAAGCGGGGGACCUUCGGGCCUCGCGUUAUUCGAGCGGCCAAUGUCUGAUUAGCUAGUUGGUGGGGUAAAGGCCUACCAAGGCGACGAUCAGUAGUGGGUCUGAGAGGAUGAUCCGCCACACUGGGACUGAGACACGGCCCAGACUCCUACGGGAGGCAGCAGUGGGGAAUUUUGGACAAUGGGCGAAAGCCUGAUCCAGCCAUGCCGCGUGUCUGAAGAAGGCCUUCGGGUUGUAAAGGACUUUUGUCAGGGAAGAAAGGGU